UACGUAGGGCGCAAGCGUUGUCCGGAAUUAUUGGGCGUAAAGAGCUCGUAGGCGGCUUGUCACGUCGGAUGUGAAAGCCCGGGGCUUAACUCCGGGUCUGCAUUCGAUACGGGCUGGCUAGAGUGUGGUAGGGGAGAUCGGAAUUCCUGGUGUAGCGGUGAAAUGCGCAGAUAUCAGGAGGAACACCGGUGGCGAAGGCGGAUCUCUGGGCCAUUACUGACGCUGAGGAGCGAAGGCGUGGGGAGCGAACGGG
rnacentral:rRNA from 1 species